GCGGCUGUGGGUUGGCGGGAGCCCCGCUGGAGCUCCCGGGCUAGGGCAGUGCGUGGGUUGGGGUCGUUGAGAAUGUCGCUACUCAGUUAAUCAGAGCAGAACUUGGCAAGGCAGGUAGCGGGCGGGGAGAGGUAGUGAUCACACAGUAGUGAGGGUGGGAGUGCGGGAUAGGCUGGUCCAAAUGCGGUGUCCUGAGGACCCUAGCGUCAGGAGGCUGCGGCUCCCCAGAGACACGUCCAGCGCCCUAGGCGACCUCGCAGGGGCUGUGAAAUCACCAGUCUGCGGGGAUUCUUGGGAGCUGUGAAUCCCAGACGGAAGGCUGUUUGCAGCUGUAAUAAGAUACGAAGGAGACCUGAGUUCGAUUACCGGUACAAAAAACUGAAGAUAUGAAGGGAGAAAUGCAGUGUUGCUCCAUUUUUUUAUAUACUGGCAAUGAGAAUGAAUAAUGCACGAAAUUUUAAAUUAGUUUUACUGAGUCACCAAACCCCACGUGCUAGCUGAUGGCCAUUUAAAAACUAUUAAUUUGUUAUUUAUAUAUAAAAGGAAUUUGGGGGGAGGUACUAGGGAUUAAACUCAAGGUCUUUGCACUGAGCUAUAUCCUUAGCCUUUUUAAAUUUUAUUAUUGUCAUUAUUAUUCUGAGACAAAGUCUGGUUAAGUUUCAGAGUUGCACAGGCUUGGUUUAAAGUUGCGAUCCUCCUGCUUCAGCCUCCAAGAGUGCUGGGAUUAUAAGUAUGCACCACCUUGCCUGGUGAAUUAUUUAUAAUUACAUGUGGAAUGAUAAUAGAAAAGGGUGUGUGUGUGUGAGUGUGUGUGUAGUAAGUCUCCAUUCACUUGCUAGUUAUGAGGAGCUAAUUAUUUGUGGACCUUAUUUGAACUGAUAAGUAAUUUGAGAUGGUUGAGAAAAAAUGCUUUAUAUUAAAUUGAAUAUACUUUAUAGCUCACUGAAUCCACAGAACAGCCCUCUAGCGUAGGCUUUUGUCUGUUUGUUUAUAGAUAUGGAACCUCAGAUAUAGAUGUUAAGGCAGUCCACGUAAUUACUGAGUGGCUGCACUAGAAUCUGGCCAGUCUGCUGGACUGUAAUAAAACUCGGACUCUUAAUCCCCACA
rnacentral:lncRNA from 1 species